rnacentral:rRNA from 1 species
AGUAUUCGUUAGUUGAACGGCAUGGAAAGGCCGGCCAGAGAAGGUGACAGCCCUGUAAGCGAAAAUGAAUGCCCUCUGAAACAUGGCCCGAGUACCGCAGGACACGAGAAAUCCGGCGGGAAUCUGGGAGGACCAUCUUCCAAGGCUAAGUACUACUCGAUGACCGAUAGUGGACUAGUACCGUGAGGGAAAGGUGAAAAGAACCCCGGCAAG